GGGGAUGUAGGCUAGUAUGGAAAAACCAAUUGCUCCGCAAGCUUUAGUCGUGGGUUCAAAUCCCAUCAUCCCCG
rnacentral:tRNA from 1 species